CCAAGUUUAGGCUGCAACAGCAGUGAAAACCAGCUUUGAGGAAAGGAAUGGUUGAAGCUGAAAGAAGGGCUUAGCUGAGAAAUCACUGCACGUGGAAAGAGUUGGGUUUGCUGCAGUUUGCUCCAAAUCCAGGUACCACCAAGACAGAAAAAUUCCAGCUUCUCUUUUAAGGUUGAACACAGGCACCAGCUUAUUUUCUUGGAGGGAAGAUAUUUAGGAGAAAAAAAAAUCCCUUUAACAGGUAAUUUAAAUUUCUGGAAUGUUACCUUUCUUUUGAGAACUAAAGCUGUAACAAAAUCCAUCUUCUUCAAGGCUUUGCUGGGGCACUGGGGGGCUCCUGCUCCUGUGGGGUGCUCACUUGAGGCCAGGGCUGGUCUGUAAGGGCUGUGGGGACAUCCUGCUAGUGGCCACAGGGCCAGGCAGGGUCUGGAGCACCUGGCACAGCUGGGGGGGCUCACCUGGAGCAAAGGAGGCUCAGGGGGGACCUUGUGGCUCUGCACAACUCCCUGACAGGAGGGGAUAGCUGGGGGCAUCAGGUUCUGCUUCCAGGGAACAGCAGGAGGAAAAAGGGCUUCGAGUUGUGCCAAGGGAGGUUUAGAUUGGAUAUUGGGAAAAUUUCUCGAUGGAAAGUGUCUGGUCCUGGCACAGCUGCCCAGGGCAGUGAUGGAGUCCCCAUUCCUGCAUGGAUUUAAAAUCCACGUGGAUGUGGCACUGAGUGACAUUGGUUAAGCGGUGGCCUUGGGGAACAGCUGGACUUGAAAACCUUAAAGCUUUCCUAAACCUAAACCUUUCCAUAAUUCCAUGAGACUGACUUGGAUCGAGCAGAGCACCAGGACACGGGGCUGUGACAGGGGGCAGUGAGGAGAGGACAGGACAGGACAGGAGAGGAGACAGGACAGGAGAGGAGACAGGACAGGAGAGGAAACAGGACAGGAGUGGAGUGGACAGAACAGGAGUGGAGUGGACAGAACAGGAGAGGACAGGGCAGCACACAGAUGCUGUGGCCGGUGGGCUGCUGCGUGCCCGGCGGGCGGUGCCUUUAAGGGGCGGUCGCGGGGCGGUGGCUGUGGCGGGGCCGGGGCGGCCGCGGUCCGGGUUCCCCCC
rnacentral:lncRNA from 1 species